UUUACAUUCUAGAUUCAUGGAUUCAAGUCAUUACCAUUAAUGUUGACGAUUUUUCUUAAUAGUUUUCAGUGUCUUUUGACAUGAUCAGCUUUUGAGGUUUAGAUCUCCUUCCUCCUCAAAUAAAAUUUCCGUCAUUGUGUAUAAUUGAUAUUUAAAGAAAGACUGCUAUACUUGUUCGGGAUAGAAUAUUAAGUCCUUGUUUGGCUCCUGCUUAUAAUUGAUCUAGCCGCUUCUUAUCCACACAUUUUGUGGUACCUACAAGUACUAUUCACUUAUCAACAAUUCAUUUCCAUCAAUUUACAAUUUAAACUGAUUAUUAACAACUCCAAACAUGCUUGAAAAUUAUAUUUUCAUUUUCCUUUUUAUUUGCAGUCAUUUCUUGGUGGAAAAAUAGAAUGAGUUCAAUUAGCUUGAGAAGAUAUUCAAGAGAAUUGCCACUUGAGAUCUAUAGCAUUUAGGGUGGAGGAAAGCCUUGAAGUUUUCAGGAUCAUCAGUUUGAUAGCAGAAAUGAUAUAUAGAAGGUUUAUUCCCAAGUGAACUGGGGAGAGCCUAAUAAUUCCACCUAAUGUUUAAUGUGAGCCAAGCUACCGUGGACAUAGAUUUUUUGGUCAAUAAAGAUUUUUUCACCCUAAUUGUUGAUUGGGAACAGUGAAAAUGGGGAAGUACUGAUUUUCCUGACUUCGUUCUUGUGAUGUGAAAUUCUAUUGGUGCAUUUAUACACAGGAUGAAAGGUAAGAAGUCACGCCUUCCAUCUAGACUUUACACGGACUGUUUAUUUUCAAGUUCUUCAUUUUUGUGUCCUUACAUUUUGAUAUUGAGUAUUUAACGGAAGAUUUAAGGUUUUCUGGUCGCUAAUCUUGUAUGAGCUCAACAUGAAGAUCACGACGAGGUUCUGUUUAUGAUCAGGACUCUCUCUUAUUAUAGUUGACGAAAGUGUACAUUUUCAGAAUCACACGUGUAAAUUGUGUUUUGUUUAAAAAAGUUGUUCAAUUAGGUUUAAAUAGGUCUCUCCUUACUGCCAAUUGAUUCAUAUCUCCUCACUGUUUCCAUGAUCACUUAGGGAGAGGAUUGGAUAGUCUUGGAUCAUAUUAAAAAAGAAAUAUAAGUUAAAAUUUUGUUAAUUAUACUGUUCUAUUUUGUCCACUAUUGUGCUUGAAGCAUGCUCUUAGGCACUUGUGUCAGUUGACCUUAUGGCUUUGCUUUCUUGAAAUGGUGAGGAAGUUUUCUUCUACAUGUGAAUGUAUCAAUAUUUUGCAUUGUUCUGUUAAGUUUUAACAGUGCAGGGAAUAAAGGCUCAACAUGAACAUAAUCCAGGGUUCUAUAUAUAAUUAAGGGAUAAUUGCAGCAAUGGUCCCAAACCUUACUCACUUUUCCACGCACUUUACGUCAAUCUUCACUUUAUGUUAUCCACAAUUCCAAAUUGUUCAUUUUGUUGCAACACAAGGACAUAUUCCAUCCAUUUAACAGUUAGUUGAUUGGAGAAGUGGAUUUUGACUAAAUUUGAUGAGGACAAAGUGGUAACUUUGCUAUUUAUCCCCAUAAAAAAUUAAAAGAAAUAAAACAAAAUAAAGAUAAAAGAAAAGAAAACUGUUAAUCUCACUGUACUUGAUGCUCACUUUGAUGCUCACUAUAAUUGAAACAGUUCGCCCUUUUUGCUUGUGAGCUCUUAUGCUUUCUUUCUAGCCUCGCAUGUUCUCAGGUUCGUGGGUCAUGAGCUCGCUUGCUUAUUCCUUUGUAUUUAUUUAUUUCAAUAAAUAGUCCUUGAAACCUGAAUUUAACUAUCAUAGUUUAAAUCUAUAACUUAUUCAAUUUUUAUUUUUAUGUUUUGUUUUUUUGGUUGACACAUUAGUCCUCGAGAUUCGAGCUUAACUAUUUAUUUUUAAGCUGCAAACUUACAGUUAAGAAAUUAUUUAAGCAUAUUCUUCUUUAUUUGUUGUGGUUGACGUUACUAUGCUUAGAGGACGUAUUAUCAUUGUAGUGGUCUUUUGCGUGCAUUUAUAGGUCUGUUUGCGCAUUUCUAUGUUAAUGGCCUAUGCACAUUUAAUGUAUUUGUCAAUUAUGCGGGACCUCAUCAGUUCAUUUUGAAAUUUUGUGUACUUAGUAUUCAACAGCUAAGAUUGUCCAGUUGCUUUUUAAAUGAUUAAGAUUAUUACUGACACAAUUCAACGACUUGUAUCUCUUGUUAGAUCUAUGGAUAUGUCAUUCUUCUUGUAACUAAUAUCCUUUCUUCUACUCUUUCGCCUUUGAUUGCUGUGCUUCGUACUCUUUAAGGUGUUUUUUGGCCAAUUUCGUCUCCUGCUCUUUUUCAUUAAUAUUCCAAAUAUCUUCCUUAGGUACAUGUACUGCCAUUUUCAUCUUGCUUUUGUAUCUACGUUUUAAUGAAGAUUUGAGAUUUUAUUUGCAUCUCUCAAAGUGAUUCCCAAAAUAUGUUAUAUAAUUUGGAGAUUGAAAUUUCUAGACUAAGGGAUGAUAUAUCAGGUGCUUCUUCUUUUGUAGAAGUGUUGUAUAACUGGUAUUACCCCAUUCUACAGUUACCCAUUUCGGUUCUCGCGUUAAUCCAGAAUUUAUUAGGCAAGGAGGUGGCUCUAACAUAGGGACGAAGUACAUAAGCUUUUGAGUGAACUUGGUAGCCUUAGUGAAGGUGAUGGUACUGUGUUUGAAGCCUCGAAAAUAUUUACCAAUUUUACUGAGAAGGACUUAGAUGAGAUUCAAUAUAGGUUUAAUGUUCUGGAUAUUGACUUAGUAUGUCCUGUGCAAUUCCAAAGUGCGGACUGUCCUCCCACUGAUUGUGUAGCUAUUUAUUUACAAAUCGAAAAUGGGACUUAAAAGUUCCAUUCUAUCAUUUCUUUUGUGAGAUUCGUUCUUCUUUUAAUAUUGUUUCACCCAACUUACUCCUAAUGAGUGAGCUCAUAUGGUUGGGUUAUGUUUUUGGAGUUUCGCGGGUUUAGAGGGACAGUUAUCUUCGGAUGUUUUUCAAUUUAUUUAUCAUCCCGUAAAAUCGGAUAAUAAGGCGAACCCACAAAAAGUGUAUUAUUCAUUUUCUCCUUGUUUUCCUAAAUCGUACCUAAAAUUUGUAAUUACUCCUAAAAAGGUGCAUAAUUGAAAAGAAUUUUAUUUUCUUUGUCAAGGGAACUAAGGGCUUCAACCUAAUGAUCAUAACUUCUCGAUUGCUAUGCCUCAGUAUUACGGCAAUCUAGUGAGUAUUGGUUCAUUUAUUCUUUGCUUUAGUUUGAUAUAUGUAAAUAGGUAAAUAGUAAGGUCCACUUUAUGAUUGAGCUUUUAUUGAUUUUUGCACUUUAGUGGCACCUAUUGUUGGCAACGUUUCUGAGGCUCAUGAAAAAGAGAGAUUGCUUCAUCCUUCUAAUUCGAAUUUUUAUAACGUUGGGAUAAAGACUACCUUGGGUGAGUUUAUGCGCUAAAGACUUUUUCGUCUUCUGAUUUCUAAUUUUGCUUUUGGGUAAUUACAAUUAUUCUUUUGCAGUGUGGAUUAAUUUUAGUGCAAACCCUUCUACAAGCUUCAAAUGCCAAAAACUUCCAUCACUUCCCCUCCUAAGCAGCUGCCUCUCGAAAGAUCUAAGGGGUUAAAGAGUGUGCCUUUGUGAGGGCCGAGGGUGUGACCGGUCGAAAUGUACCCCAAAAGUUGCUCGAGUGGUUGAAGUUACGUUAUGAUCAACAAGUAGAAUAUGAGGUUUGCAUUUUGCGAGCUGACAAUUUGGAUAAUAAAGUUCAAUCUUUGGAGAAAAGAUUUGGUUCUCUUUAGAGGAAGCUAAGAAAGAGAGCGCCAAAUACAAGGAGUUGAGCGAAGGUGCUAAAGUUUAUGCUAUCAAGGAGGCUACCAUGUUGGCCGAUGUUAUGAAGGUUUCUAAGGACUUGGAGCGGGCCAAGGAAAACCAUGAGGCUUAUGCCAAAAUGACUGAUCGUGAGAUUUUAAGACUUAGAGAGGAGCUUCAGUUGGUAAAAGAUGAGCAGUUUUUUUACCUCGAAAGAUCUUGAGAAUGCACGGAAUGAAAUGGCUUCAGUUGGUAAAAGAUGGGCAAUUUGUUACCUCGAAAGAUAUUGAGAAUGCGAGGAAUGAAACUAGCAUUCAAUUAAAACUUUAUCAUAGGUGGAAAGAAACUUGCCUUCAAUUGAAAAUUUAUCAUAGGCAGAAAGAAACUUGCCUUCAACCCCUUUCAUAUGCUUUUUAUAAAUAUUGUCAAUGCGUUCCUUUUUCUGGUCUUGGCUCAUUGUAAGAGUUUUGAUAUCCAUACUUUCCCUUUUACAUGCAGUAUCAUCCUUAUUUGUAGGAGUAGUAUUCCCCCCCCCCCCCUCUCUAUAUAACUUUUCCAGUUUCACAACCUCGAAUAUGAGCUUUCCUAACUGAGGAUCUCAAUCUUGUCGUUCUUGUUUUCUACCAUCACUGUGGUAUUUAUUAUCGGAGUUCUUGGGGUUGAUUUUCUCUGUGCGCUAAGGUAACACUCUGGC
rnacentral:lncRNA from 1 species